CAUAUUACUAUUUUUUUUUUAGUAUAUGAAAUUUUACUUUGAGAAAAUUAGAGUGCUUAAAGCAGGCAUAUGCCUUGAAUACUCCAGCAUGGAAUAAUAUUAAAGAUUUUUAUCUUUUUUAUUGGUUCUAAGAUAAGAAUAAUGAUUAAUAGGGACAGUUGGGGGCAUUUGUAUUUAACAGUCAGAGGUGAAAUUCUUAGAUUUGUUAAAGACAAACUAAUGCGAAAGCAUUUGCCAAGGAUGUUUUCAUUAAUCAAGAACGAAAGUUAGGGGAUCGAAGACGAUCAGAUACCGUCGUAGUCUUAACCAUAAACUAUGCCA
rnacentral:rRNA from 1 species